UAACAGAAUAUAAUCUGGUUUCAGGUC
rnacentral:piRNA from 1 species